rnacentral:rRNA from 1 species
UACGUAUGGAGCAAGCGUUAUCCAGAUUUACUGGGUGUAAAGGGUGCGUAGGUGGCAGUGCAAGUCAGAUGUGAAAGGCCGGGGCUCAACCCCGGAGCUGCAUUUGAAACUGCAUAGCUAGAGUACAGGAGAGGCAGGCGGAAUUCCUAGUGUAGCGGUGAAAUGCGUAGAUAUUAGGAGGAACACCAGUGGCGAAGGCGGCCUGCUGGACUGUUACUGACACUGAGGCACGAAAGCGUGGGGAGCAAACAGG